rnacentral:rRNA from 1 species
GAUGAACGCUGGCAGCGUGCCUAAUACAUGCAAGUCGAGCGAACAGACGAGGAGCUUGCUCCUCUGACGUUAGCGGCGGACGGGUGAGUAACACGUGGAUAACCUACCUAUAAGACUGGGAUAACUUCGGGAAACCGGAGCUAAUACCGGAUAAUAUAUUGAACCGCAUGGUUCAAUAGUGAAAGACGGUUUUGCUGUCACUUAUAGAUGGAUCCGCGCCGCAUUAGCUAGUUGGUAAGGUAACGGCUUACCAAGGCAACGAUGCGUAGCCGACCUGAGGGGGUGAUCGGCCACACUGGAACUGAGACACGGUCCAGACUCCUACGGGAGGCAGCAGUAGGGAAUCUUCCGCAAAGGGCGAAAGCCUGACGGAGCAACGCCGCGUGAGUGAUGAAGGUCUUCGGAUCGUAAAACUCUGUUAUUAGGGAAGAACAAAUGUGUAAGUAACUAUGCACGUCUUGACGGUACCUAAUCAGAAAGCCACGGCUAACUACGUG